AGACCAACACUAUCAACAUACCCAAAGCACCUGAGCGUCCAGUAUCCAUUGAGGAUCCAGUUAAGGGCAUCAUUAUCCAGAACAAUCGCAAUAAGAUGCAGCUUCUGGCUAAGACAGUGAACAUUACUUCCCCGGUACAAUGGACAACAGCAGAAGCCGACAUCAGCUCCUGCAGAAGAUCCUGAACUUGCAGCUCUCCCUAUGCAUAAACGAAUCCAGGAGAGAGAAGCUCAGAAGGCCAAAAAUAAACUUUCUGAGCCUAAAGCGGAACCUGUGACUGAUUCCAUAUCCGUUGUGAGGAGACAUGAUGUGUCCCGUGUGUAUACAGAACUGAUUCAGAAAACUGCUAAGCAUACCAGUCAUAAUAAAUACAGUCAGGGGAAAACGCCUCCUGCAAACAUUUCACCCAAAGUUGUGCACAUCUCUUUGGAUGACUUUAAAAGGUUGCAGUCUCAGAAGGCCAAAGUGAUAGUUGUUCCUUCCGGGGAGAAGAACAAGGCUGGUACAGUGAUACACCUCAGCACUGGUGGGAUCAGGACGUCAUCCAGCUCGCCAAAUGCUAAGUCCUAUAUUGAAAACAACAAAGAAGAGCAGAAGGCAUCGCCAGCUCAGGGUGUGGUGCCCACGAAAGAUGUGAAAGUCCUGGAACAUUCCUCUGAUAAGAUCACAGUUCUGAAGACCAGUCCUGUUGCAGAAACCCCUGAGAAAACGGAAAUGGAAGAGAAGAUUGAUGAAACUCCAGAUAGUGAUCAGGUAUCAGAACCUCCCCACAAAACAGUUGAAACUCCAAAGACAAUCAUGAAGACACCAAAGAAAACCGUGUUUCGCAAAAAGGUAGAUGAGGAAGAAGAUGCAGUAAAGGAAGAAGAUGAAGAUUCUGAAUGUCCUGUUCCCAAAAAGAAAAGGAAGUCUGUGUCUUGGUCACAGAACCUCACAACAGAAUCUCCAUAUGUUCCCUUGCCACAAGAAGCACAGACUCCAAGCCCAGCACGGUCUACCUGCUUGUAUAAGGAUGGCAUUCAUCGUCGAGUACCAAGGAUGCAUAAGAAAGUCGAGGAAACGGUGGUUUCCAAAGAUGAAGAAAUUGGAUCUGAGAAAACUGUCAUCAAUGGAAUGAUAGUGUCAAAAAGUGCUUUGCAGUCUGCACCUGUUGUCAAGACAUACAGUAAACAAGAACCAGAGAGAAAGCGAAGUUAUGAGUCUGACUUUUUCGUCGAGGAUGGUCCCCCAGAGAAUCGGGAACCAUCACCUCCAAAACUUACAAAGAUUGAACAGAGUGAUUGCGCUGUUAUUGAUCAUUCUGAAGAUGCUCCACCUGAUAUCUUUUCUGAUCCUGAAAUUGAAACCGUUUCAAGUGGCACUGAUUUGACCAGUACCCCAAAACCUAGUACCUGUUUGUAUACAUACACCAAGGAAAAGAAGAAGAAACUCUUUCCAAAGGAAAAGGAGACAAGUGAUGAGUCAACAUGUGCUAAGGUUGUACGGAGAACAAAGCGAUCUCCCCACACUGUUAGAACAACUCGAAGAGGUAGGGUGUCAACUCCAGUACGUGAUGACAUCGUUGACAUCGUUGCAGAAAUUCCUGAAGUGAAUGAGACAAGGAGGCGAGGGAGACCCUCAUCUUCUCUUGUGUGUUUUGCUGUACAAAAGAAAGAUGAUAUUGAUACAGAAAAGAAAGUCAAAUUUACGAAGGUCUAUCAAAGGAACAAGGAGAAGGAUCCAGCAGAGAUGGACAGUGAUCAGUGUGAUAUGCAAGAGCCAGUGUUGGACUUGGUGUCAGAGGCCAACGUGGAAGACUUUGAGGAGGCAGUUAGCGAUGAUGUCGAGAUGGUGGACAUGGGGACUGUGGCACCUGCUGUUGAUGAUGUCUCCAGAAAGGAUACAGCUGCUACAGAGGAACAUGGUCAACCAGGAGAGGGUGUUGGAGAGGCUGCUUCUGGAGAUAAGAAUUUAGAAAAAGAAGGUGUAGAAACUUUAGAAGAAGAACCUGAAACAGUACAAGAUGAACAAGCAGAAAAACAGGCAGAAAAAGAAGAGGAGGAGCAAAAGAGAGAAGAGCAAAAAGAAGAGGAAGAGGGAAAAGAAGAAGAAAAGGAGGAAAAAGAAGAGGAGAUGCAGUCUGAAGAAGAAGAUGAAGUUAUCCAGUUAGAGGAAACUGCAUGUAGUGGCACCCAGACAGUUCAAUUUGCAGAAGUUGAUGGAAAAGUUGUUCCUGUUGAGGAGGUUAAGGAGGAAAAGGAAGAAAUAUUGAUUGAUGAGACGGAGGGUGAAAAGGAGGACCAGACGAAGGAAGAAUCAUCUCAGUUAGGUCAAGGGCUUGGUAAAGUAUGUCAGACAGAGGAUGUAGGUCCUGAUACUGCUGAAAUUCAGCAGCAGGAAUGUGAAGUUGUCCUGGAAGAGGCAGAGGUUAAGCCGCCAGAGCAGCAAGAUGUUGAACAUGAAGUUGAAUCACAGCAACAAGAUGCUGAUGCUGAAGUUGAGUGUGUGGUUGAGCUAGGGCAGGAUGCUGCUGAAAUUCAAGAUGAGCCCGAGAUGCAAGAAGCUGAGGUUGAAUUAAAAAAUCAAGUUGAAGUUGAGCAUGAGAUGAAGCCAGAGAAGCAAGGUGCUGAAGUUGACCAUGAGGUUAAGUCUGGGAAGCAAGAUGCUGAAGUUGAACUUGUAGUUGAGCUAGAGCAGCAAGAUGCUGAAGUUGACCAUGAGGUUGAGCCUGGGAAGCAAGAUGCUGAAGUUGAACUUGUAGUUGAGCUAGAGCAGCAAGAUGCUGAAGUUGAACAUGAGGUUGAGCCUGGGAAGCAAGAUGCUGGAGUUGAACUUGUAGUUGAGCUAGAGCAGCAAGAUGCUGAAGUUGAACAUGAGGUUAAGUCUGGGAAGCAAGAUGCUGAAGUUGAACUUGUAGUUGAGCUAGAGCAGCAAGAUGCUGAAGUUGAACAUGAGGUUAAGUCUGGGAAGCAAGAUGCUGAAGUUGAACUUGUAGUUGAGCUAGAGCAGCAAGAUGCUGAAGUUGAACAUGAGGUUAAGUCUGGGAAGCAAGAUGCUGAAGUUGAACUUGUAGUUGAGCCAAAGCAGCAAGACGCAGAAGUUGAGCAUCAGGUUGAAUUACAGAAUCAAGUUGCUGAAGUUGAAGUUGAUGUUGAAUCAAAACAACAGGUUCCUGGAGUUGAACAUGACAUUGAAUUACAGCAGCAGGUUGCUGAAGUUGAACUUGAGGUGCAGCCAGAACAGCAAGAUGAUAAAGUUGGAGAUGAAGUUGAAUCAGAUCUUAGAGAUGCUGAUGUGCAUAUGAACCAGAAACAUGCUGAUCAGCCAGAUGUGGCUGAAGCUGAAAGUAAUAAGGACAGUGAGUCAAAAGUUGAUGAAUCUCAUUUGGCUGAAGAGGAACCAAUGGAACAGGAAGAUGCUGAAGUAGAAGAGCAAGUAAAAUCAGAACAAAAAUAUACUGAAGUUGAAAAUGGUGUAAAAUUAGAUGUUGAAGAUGUCAAAGUGGGAAACUAUCUAGAAAUGUCUGAAGUUCAAACAGAUGAAGUCUGUAUGGCCAAGGAUGCAGCAAGGGACAAGCCAGAAUCUGCAGAGAGAAGACUGUCAGAUGAACUGAACUCUGAAAGACAGGAACUUAAUACAACUGGAGUGGUAAAGAUGGGUCAAACAGAAAGUCUGCAAACCUAUGUUGACACACAGGUGAAGGCUACAUCAUCAAUUCAACUUGAUAACAAGAGCUCUGGCUCAAAUGUAAAGACAGCUGCAUCAACAACUGAUGAGUCUUCUAACUUACAUGCCAAAACAGAUUCAUCAAAAGAUAGCAGGCCAUCUGACUCUGAUGCUAAAAUGUCUCCAUCAAGUGAUUCCAAGUCAUGUAAUUUCGAGGUUAAGACACCUUCAUCAAGUGAAAGAAAGUCUUCCGAAUCUGAUGUUAAGACACCUUCAUCAAGUGACAGGAAGUCGUCUGACUCUGAUGUUAAGACACCUUCAUCAAGUGAAAGAAAGUCCUCUGACUCUGAUGUUAAGACACCUUCAUCAAGUGACAGGAAGUCGUCUGACUCAGAUGUUAAAAUGUCUCCAUCAGGUGAUAGGAAGUCCACCGACUCUGAUAUUAAGACACCUUCAUCAAGUGAAAGAAAGUCCUCCGAAUCUGAUGUUAAGACACCUUCAUCAAGUGACAGGAAGUCGUCUGACUCAGAUGUUAAAAUGUCUCCAUCAGGUGAUAGGAAGUCCUCCGACUCUGAUAUUAAGACACCUUCAUCAAGUGAAAGAAAGUCCUCCAACACACAUUCUAAAACAUCUUCAUCAAGUGACAGGAGGUCCUCUGAUUCACACUCUAGGACAAGUUCUUCUUGUGACAGGAGGUCCCACGACUCACACUACAAGUCAAGCUCAUCAAGAGACAGGAGGUCCUCCGAUUCACAUGCCAAGUCAAGCUCAUCAAGCGAUAGGAGGUCGUCUGGCUCACAUAGCAGGUCCUCUUCAUCAAGAGAUAGCAAGUCCUCUCAUUCACAUCACAAGUCAUCUUCAUCAAGAGAUAGCAAGUCCUCUGACUCGGAUGCAAAGUCAUCUUCAUCAAGAGAUAGCAAAUCCUCUGACUCGCAUUACAAGUCAAGCUCAUCAAGAGAUAGAAAAUCCUCUGAUUCACAUAGCAAGUCAAGCUCUUCAAGAGAUAGGAGGUCCUCGGACUCACAUAGCAGAUCAUCUUCAUCUAGAGAUGGGAGAUCCUCGGACUCACAUAGUAGAUCCUCCUCAUCAAGAGAUGGGAGGUCCUCGCACUCACAUAGCAGAUCAUCUUCAUCAAGAGAUGGGAGGUCCUCUGACUCACAUAGCAGAUCAUCUUCAUCAAGAGAUGGGAGGUCCUCGGACUCACGUAACCGGUCUCCUUCAUCAAGAGAUAGCAAGUCCUCAGAUUCAUAUAGCAAGUCAACUUUAUUGAGUGCCAGCAAGUCCUUGGAAUCACAACAGACAACUCCAUCAAAUGAUAUCAAAUCCACAGACUCUAAUGUCAAGACAGCUUUACUCAAGGAAGGCCAAAGUGUAGAGGAUUGCCAAACAGUUCCAAACCAAGAUGUUGUAGUAGCGACUGAAGCCAAGGUAGAGAAACAUCCUGUACAAGUGCAAACAACUGUUGUUGGAUCAUCCAAGGAACCAAAAGUGCCUCAAAGUGAACAAGUUACAGGGACUGAAACUGAGAAGAGGGGUGAAAGGAAUUUGGAAGAGAAAGUGGCAACAGAAACAAGUGUUGAAGGUGAUGUUGAAAUGAGUGUGGUUGAAGUAGCUCAAGUUAAAAUUCAUAAGGUUGAGCAGGAGGAAGUUGCAGUUAGUCAGAGUGAGGUGACUGAAGUUGAAAUGGAACAAGAUGAUGUGAAUGCUGUUGAACGACAAGAGGCUGAUGUUGCUAAAGUUGAAAUGGAUCAGGCUGAAGUGGACAUGGAUGUAACUGAAGGGGAAACUGAAAAAGGAAAUGAAAUAGCAGAUGCAAAUGUGGGGGUUGUAACUGGUGCUGAAACAAAUGAGGUAAAUGUAUCUGAAACUCAUCAGUUGAAAAUCAGUGAAGAAAAUGCAUGUAAGACUGAAGCUGUUCAUACAGAAGUAGCCGAAGCUGUUCACACGGAAGUAGCCGAAGCUGUUCACACAGAAGUAGCUGAAGCUGUUCACACGGAAGUAGCCGAAGCUGUUCACACAGAAGUAGCUGAAGCUGUCCACACAGAAGUAGCUGAAGCUGUUCACAUGGAAGUAGCCGAAGCUGUUCACACGGAUGUAACUGAAGCUGUUCACAUAAAAGUAGCUGAAGCUGUUCACACAGAAGUAGCUGAAGCUGUUCACACGGAAGUAGCUGAAGCUGUUGACACGGAAGUAGCUGAAGCUGUUCACACAGAAGUAGCUGAAGCUGUUCACACGGAUGUAACUGAAGCUGUUCACACGGAAGUGGCCAAAGCUGUUCACACGGAUGUAACUGAAGCUGUUCACACAGAAGUAGCUGAAGCUGUUCACACAGAAUUAGCUGAAGCUGUUCACUCAGAAGUAGCCGAAGCUGCUCACACAGAAGUAGCCAAAGCUGUUCACACGGAAGUAGCCGAAGCUGUUCACACAGAAGUAGCCGAAGCUGUUCACACAGAAGUAGCCAAAGCUGUUCACACAGUAGCCGAAGGUGUAUACACAGAAGUAGCCGAAGGUGUUCGCACGGAAGUAGCUGAAGCUGAUGGACUGAAAGGUGGAGCAGAUCAGUCAAGCAAUAUAACAAACACAAGGAAAGACAAUGUUGAAACUGAAGCCUCAGAAGAUAAACUCAGAAAGUCUAGUGUUAAUGAAGUUGAUACAAAAACAUUAUCUGCGGCUGAAAGUGAAACUGAGGAAACAGAUGUGGAAGUUCAGAUUGCAAGAGAGACAAUUGCUGACACCAUAACACCAGAAGUUGUUGAAGAUAAAUUGGACAAACCCUUUGUUCCAAAAGUUGAAACAAAUCAGAUUGAAGUGGAAUAUGUUGAAACUGAUGUUGUGGAAACAAUUGAAUGUGACGGGGAAACACCAGUCGCAGAAAAUGUUAGUGAACCAGUUGAGGUGGUGUCUAUGGAGGUUGAGGAAGAGUGUGUUGAGAGUGGUGAUGCUGUGUGUGGUGAGUCUGAAGAAUUCCGGAGUGAGGACAUACAGGUUGUAGGAGAGGGAUCAGAAGAAGUUGUUGAGGAGGUUGUUGAGGAGGUAGUGCUGGUAGUUGCUGACGGAGAUUAUGUUGAAACAAGAACUGAAUGUUCUGCAGACAAUGCACCUGCAGUAGGUGUCAGUGUUUCCAAGGAACCAAUAAAUUCCAUGGAAACAGAUGUGAUGGACGUAGGUUCCUGUAACACAGUGACUGAGACCAAAACACAUCCAACCACUAUGUUGGAAACAGUGGGGCAACCCGCUGCUCAAGAUGCAAAGACAAGUGAUGAAAUAAUUCCAAUGGAUACUGACUGUGAUGAAGACCCUGAGAGUAAGGAUCAGGAAAUUAGUGUUCAGAUUAUUGAUGACAGUGUUAGUGCUGACGAAACUGGAAAUUGUGAUACUGUGAACAUAGGCCCAACUGUUAGUGAUUCUAAAUCAAGAGACAGUUCAGAAAUGGUGGAGGAAGUUGUUGAGGAACCCAAAUCUGAUGACCCUCCAGAACUGGACUGUAGUGGUCCUCCAGUGUUGGAAAGAAUAUCCCCCAUAGACUAUAAAGAAAGAUCUGCUUCCCCUGAUAGAUUCCCUGCUGAGGGAUGUCAAACAGGAGCUAACCAAAUGAUUUCCCACCAUACAGUACAUAACAGGUCGGUGAAUGGGACAGAGUCGGACAGCAAGACAUGCUCAGAAUCAGACUCAAAGGAAUUACCUGUGCUUAGUGAGCAACAAAAAGACGAUUCAGGGGAUUUUAAAUCGCCAUCCAGUGAUCCAGUUAAAAAGUCCUGCAAGUCCCCAGUGUUCAGUACACCAAGUGAACUCCCAGUUUUACAAAAGCACAGCCCAACCAAACUUUCACACACAAAGAGCAGUUCGGGUAAGAGUUCGCCUGAAAAUUCUUCUCCUAAAAGGUCUCCAACUUCCUCACCUCCUAAACAGGGUGUUGAUAGAAAUGUAUUCAGUGAGUUUGCCUCCAAUGUGAAUUCCUCCGAUUCCAAAACCAGUCCAACAUCGUCACCCAGCAAAGGCUCACCAAAUAGGCCUAAUCUGCCAAUAGGAUUUGCAGCAUCUCUCAGCAAAUUAAAAGAUAUCGGGACCUUUAAAUUGUCAUCAAAAUCAAAGACAUCAGACGGUUCAUCAUCGGAGGGCAGCAGCUGAAAGACAAACCUCCAUCUUUAGUCACAGAUGAAGAAGCUCUGCAUCUUUUGUAAUAGUCACACCUGAUUGGGCAGCAUGCACAUUUGGAAUCAUUUCAUUGGACAACAGACAGCAGUGGGGGCUCACAUCUUUGUCAUGAUUGACAGCAUCUUCUGAGUGCAUUCAUCAACUGUGGCAUGAAAACUGAUUGUACAUAAUUUCAUUUUAGUGCAUCUGAGAUACUGAAUGAGAAAGACUUUGUGAUAGGACUUGUGGUGUUUGACUACAAGAACCAUUUUACGUUCAUUAGCAUCUGUCAGGUUUUAUUAUGUUCAUAUUUACCAGCGAGACUCACUUUCAUACAUCAAUAUCAGGCAUGAAGAUGUUCUUCGGGACUGAUGCCAUAAUUCUACAGAAGUCCCUGUAAUUGUUGUGGUUGUUUUUGGUUUUUUGUAAAUAAUCCCAAAUUCAUCCAAAGAGAGUGUAUUUUGAUAAACUGCUGUAGCAAUCUCCUGUCUCUUCUUAUUUUGAACCAGCAAACAAUUCUGGAUUGUCCCUCAUAAUGUUCAAACCUCAGAUAUUAUCAGGGAGCUGAUAUUGUCCAGUAGCUGCAAUUUGCUGUGCAGAGUUGCAUCCCUUUAGCUUGAUAGGAACCUAUGAUUAGACAUGUAUCACUGAAGGAUUUUUCUCACAUCAAGCUAACAAGCCUUGACAAAACUGAAAUACAAGCUGGUCAUUUGAUGUAAUACAAGUACUCCUUGUACAAAUCUAGAACUUGAAGCUUACAUUUCAACUGAUAUAGUCACCAGGUACAGUAUACAAUGUAAGAUGUUAUUUAUGACGAAGAAUCAGCUCUGUGAUUUGAUAAAAAAUGAUGCAAUUUCAUGUCAGGAUUCAUAAAGAAAUACAGC
rnacentral:misc_RNA from 1 species